rnacentral:rRNA from 1 species
UAGUCAUAUGCUUGUCUCAAAGAUUAAGCCAUGCAUGUCUAAGUAUAAACUCGUUUGUACAGUGAAACUGCGAAAGGCUCAUUAAAUCAGUUAUAGUUUAUUUGAUAGUACAGGACUACAUGGAUAACCGUGGUAAUUCUAGAGCUAAUACAUGCGCAAAAGCCCGACUUCGGGAAGGGCUGUAUUUAUUAGAUAAAAAGCCAACCCGGGGAACCGGACGUGUGGUGAUUCAUAGUAACUGGUCGAAUCGCAGGCCGAGGGCCGGCGAUGGUUCAUU